CCUACGGGGGGCUGCAGUGGGGAAUAUUGGACAAUGGGCGCAAGCCUGAUCCAGCCAUGCCGCGUGAGUGAUGAAGGCCUUAGGGUUGUAAAGCUCUUUCACCGGAGAAGAUAAUGACGGUAUCCGGAGAAGAAGCCCCGGCUAACUUCGUGCCAGCAGCCGCGGUAAUACGAAGGGGGCUAGCGUUGUUCGGAAUUACUGGGCGUAAAGCGCACGUAGGCGGAUAUUUAAGUCAGGGGUGAAAUCCCAGAGCUCAACUCUGGAACUGCCUUUGAUACUGGGUAUCUUGAGUAUGGAAGAGGUAAGUGGAAUUCCGAGUGUAGAGGUGAAAUUCGUAGAUAUUCGGAGGAACACCAGUGGCGAAGGCGGCUUACUGGUCCAUUACUGACGCUGAGGUGCGAAAGCGUGGGGAGCAAACAGGAUUAGAUACCCCAGUAGUC
rnacentral:rRNA from 1 species